AACGAACGCUGGCGGCAGGCCUAACACAUGCAAGUCGAACGCAUCGCAAGAUGAGUGGCGCACGGGUGAGUAACACGUGGGAAUGUAUCCUUUGGUUCGGAAUAACGUUUGGAAACGGACGCUAAUACCGGGUGAGCCCUUAGGGGGAAAGAUUUAUCGCCGAAGGAGCAGCCCGCGUCUGAUUAGGUAGUUGGUGGGGUAAAGGCCUACCAAGCCGACGAUCAGUAGCUGGUCUGAGAGGAUGAUCAGCCACACUGGGACUGAGACACGGCCCAGACUCCUACGGGAGGCAGCAGUGGGGAAUAUUGGACAAUGGGCGCAAGCCUGAUCCAGCCAUGCCGCGUGAGUGAUGAAGGCCUUCGGGUUGUAAAGCUCUUUCGCACACGACGAUGAUGACGGUAGUGUGAGAAGAAGCCCCGGCUAACUUCGUGCCAGCCGCCGCGGUAACAC
rnacentral:rRNA from 1 species